UUCUUCUUGUGUGGACAAAAACUUAUUUUUGGCUGAACUAAAACAGAUCUUUUAAUAGACCUAGACCCGGCCCCGUGCUUUCCCACACUUGGUGAAAAAAAAUCAGAAAACUCAUUUUCCAUCUCCCAAACCUAGUAGCACCUCUUCUUCGAUGCUCUUCCACCCUCGUUGCUCUCUCAUAUCGGUCUACAAACCAACAACCAAAGCCGGCCGGGUCAAGUCAAGUUCUUCAAGGAAAUAGAAAUUGAAGCGUAGAGAUGAGAGAAGACAGUACGAAGAGAGAGAAAGUAGAUCUGGUUUCUCAAUUCUCCAUCUUCUACCUCCGAGCAUCAUCCGGUGACAUCGCCACUACCAAUGGACUCUUCGGCCUCCAAUUAGUUGACCCAGGCUGCGUCAUCCAACGAUAUCGAAAGUCAGCACCACAUGCUUCCGACUGCGAGUCCGGAUCUACACCCAACAGAGAUCACAGAAUCGGGAGCGAUUUGGGGAUUUAGGGUUUUGAAAUCGAAAGCGUCGUCGUUUUCGAAAUGGCGUUGGGCAAGGUGAAGGAGCUCGUCUCGUCCAAUCUGGUAGUCAUCUUCAGCAACAAGCUUUGUCUUUACUGUGUUUGCGUGAAGCAGCUCUUCGUUCUAAAAUUGGGAGUCCAGUACAAGGCCAUUGAAUUGGACCAAGAGAAGAUUAGUAUUUUCUUUUGGGAUUUAGUUAUUCCCCCAACACAGAGAAAGGGACGAGACGAAACAAAAAGAGAGAGAGAGAGAGAGACAAGAGAACAAGCAAGAACGAAAAGAAGGAGAAGAGAGAGACGGGAAGCUCUUGCUUAGAUUGGUAAGAUUUUGGUUUAGUAGAGUCAAUACCAACGUACUUUAAACUGAUUUCCUUGAAUUAGUUAUUUGUAUGCAGUUUUCUAGCUAUCCUAAUCGGUCUUUCGUUUGCUUUGUAUCCAGUACUUUUUGCGU